UACGGAGGAUCCGAGCGUUAUCCGGAUUUAUUGGGUUUAAAGGGUGCGUAGGCGGCGCAUUAAGUCAGUGGUGAAAGGUAACCGCUUAACGGGGACACUGCCAUUGAUACUGAUGUGCUGGAGUACAGAUGAAGUGGGCGGAAUGUGUCAAGUAGCGGUGAAAUGCAUAGAUAUGACACAGAACACCAAUUGCGAAGGCAGCUCACUAAAGUGUAACUGACGCUGAGGCACGAAAGCGUGGGGAUCGAACAGG
rnacentral:rRNA from 1 species